rnacentral:rRNA from 1 species
UAAAGUAAAGUCUUACAGUUGAUUAAAAGUGUUAAAGGUGUAAUUAUUGGAAAGGUACAUUUAAUAAAAAUAAUUUUAUAGUGUAAAGAGUUAUUGUAUUGUAUAAAGAUGUAAUUAUUGAAGUGAUAGAGUAUAGUAUUGAGAGAGAAAGAUGAAAUAGGUGAAAAUGUAUUUUAUGAAAAGUAGAUUUAAUUUGUUUUACCUUGGGUAUCAGGGUUUAUUAAAGUUUUAUCUUGAUAAAAAAGAAUUCCCGAUUUGAAGAGAGUUAAUUUAGCUAGUUGGUUAAUGUUGAAUAAUUAUCAAUGAAGUUAAAUUGGAGAUGAAAUGUCAUGCGUUCUUCAAGGUAUCUGGUUUCUUCAGAAAUAAAUUUAAUUUAGCUAUGGGUGAGAAAAUAUUUAAAUGUUUAAAUUAUUUUUGUUCAGUAGUAAUAACUUAAGGGAUAAGCUUUAGGUUAAAUUAUUAUAAUAGGGAUUAAUGAGUGUAUGAAAUGUAGGUUUAGAAAUAGCCACCAUAAUGGAAUAGUGUUAUAAUUUAUUUAUAUGUAAGAUUAUUUCUUUAAAUUUUAAUUAUUUAUGAGGAUUUUAGGUUGAAUAAUAAGACUUAAUUAAUAAUGGUGGAAUUAGUAUAGUUGUAAUGUAUAAAAAGUGUAAAAUUGAGGGGUUACAUUAAGGAAUUAGGCAAAUUGAUGCUUGCCUGUUUAACAAAAACAUGGUUUCAUGGGAAGAAUUUGAAAUCUGGCCUGCCCACUGAAAUUAUAUUGAAGGGCCGCGGUAUUUUGACCGUGCAAAGGUAGCAUAAUCAUUAGUCUUUUAAUUGAAGGCUGGUAUGAAUGGUUGGACAAGGUAUCGACUGUCUCAAUGUGAUUAGGAUUAGAAUUUAAUUUUUAGGUUAAAAAGCUUAAAUAAUUUUAAGGGACGAGAAGACCCUAUAGAGCUUUAGAGUGUGGUAUUGAUGUAUAAUUUUUGGUUGUGAAUGUUAAAUUUAUAUUAGGCACAUUAUUUUAUUGGGGUGAUAGGAAGAUAAAAAAAACUCUUUUUGUUUAAGAAUAUAAACAUGGAUAUAUGAGUGAUUGAUCCAUUAGUAGUGAUUAUAAGAUUGAGUUACCUUAGGGAUAACAGCGUAAUCUUUUUUUAGAGUUCUUAUCGGCAAAAAGGAUUGCGACCUCGAUGUUGGAUUAAGAUAAAAUUUAGGCGCAGAAGUUUAAUGUUUUAGGUCUGUUCGACCUUUAAAUUCUUACAUGAUCUGAGUUCAGACCGGCGUAAGCCAGGUCGGUUUCUAUCUUUAAAUUAUGGAGAUGUUUUAGUACGAAAGGACCAGGCAUCUGAGAGAGUUUCUUUAAGAUUUAUAUGAUUGAAAUUAAUGU